rnacentral:rRNA from 1 species
ACCGGUCUAAGUUCGGAUUGCAGGCUGCAACCCGCCCUGCAUGAAGUCGGAAUCGCUAGUAAUCGCGAGUCAGCAUAUCGCGGUGAAUACGUUCCCGGGUCUUGUACACACCGCCCGUCACACCAUGGGAGUUGGCAACACCCGAAGUCGAUGAGCUAACCUUUUAGGAGGCAGUCGCCUAAGGUGGGGUUGAUAACUGGGGUGAAGUCGUAACAAGGUACC